GAGUUUGAUCAUGGCUCAGAUUGAACGCUGGCGGCAGGCCUAACACAUGCAAGUCGAGCGGUAGAGAGAAGCUUGCUUCUCUUGAGAGCGGCGGACGGGUGAGUAAUGCCUAGGAAUCUGCCUGGUAGUGGGGGAUAACGUUCGGAAACGGACGCUAAUACCGCAUACGUCCUACGGGAGAAAGCAGGGGACCUUCGGGCCUUGCGCUAUCAGAUGAGCCUAGGUCGGAUUAGCUAGUUGGUGGGGUAAAGGCUCACCAAGGCGACGAUCCGUAACUGGUCUGAGAGGAUGAUCAGUCACACUGGAACUGAGACACGGUCCAGACUCCUACGGGAGGCAGCAGUGGGGAGUAUUGGACAAUGGGCGAAAGCCUGAUCCAGCCAUGCCGCGUGUGUGAAGAAGGUCUUCGGAUUGUAAAGCACUUUAAGUUGGGAGGAAGGGCAGUAACUUAAUACGUUGCUGUUUUGACGUUACCGACAGAAUAAGCACCGGCUAACUCUGUGCCAGCAGCCGCGGUAAUAC
rnacentral:rRNA from 1 species